GACAGAGGCCUCAAGCGUUAGGCGGAAUCACUGGGCUUAAAGCGUGUGUAGGCGGGUCGUUAAGUACCUUGUGAAAUCCCACGGCUCACCCGUGGAACUGCUGGGUAUACUGGCGAUCUUGGGCCAUUCAGGGGCAACUGGAACAAGCGGUGGAGCGGUGAAAUGCGUAGAGAUCAGGUGGAACACCGAUGGCGAAGGCAGCACUCUGGCCGAAUACUGACGCUGAGGCACGAAAGCGUGGGUAGCAAACAGG
rnacentral:rRNA from 1 species